UCUGUUGCAUUUCCCCGGUUGGACUUGUUGUUUUCACGAUUAUUACUUGGUGUCUUCGUUUUUUUUUUUUUUUCUUAUUUUAUUGGAAUGUGGUUCCUACGUCGUCGCACUGGGCCCGUCUCAACGUUCAUACUGCCACUGUUGUGUUAAACUUCCGACUGCAACACAACUGAAAGACGGACCUGCCUGAUGUUACACCAAGAUGCUGUUCUCAUGUUCAAUCUCACCUCAUCCCAAAUCUCAUUGAGAUGUCUUCAACUUAAGAAAAAAUGUUCCUGCUACAUGACAAGACUUCAAUAAGAACAUCUUUGAGAACUUCAGCUUUUCUGAUAAUUGUGAUUAAAGUCUUGUGCUGUCAAACCCUCACAUGUCGUCCUGAAGAGUAUCAGAUAGACAAUAAAUGCUGCCUAAUGUGUCCACCUGGAAACAGAGUUGAUAUAGAUUGGAUAAAGCUACUAAACGUACACAGUGUUUACAAUGCAAUAACUGUGAUACAGGUUCUGGUCUGAAGGUAAAGAAGUCAUGUACAACAACAUCAGAUACAGUUUGUGAACCACUUGAAGGAUUCUUCUGUAUUGACUUAAUAAAGGACCAAUGUAAAGCAGCACAGAAACACAAGGACUGUGAUCCAGGACAAUACAUCAAGGAAAAAGGUACAUCCUCCUCAGACACUGUGUGCUCUGACUGCAGUGAUGGAACAUUUUCAGAUGGAACAUUAACAUCUUGUCACCAACACACACAGUAAGUAAAUCCUCACAUCACACAUGGAGACAUGUUUGAUGUCUUAUUACAUCAGUAAUAUUCUCUAUAAAAUGUCUCUUUAUUGUUCCAGAUGUGAAUCAAUGAACCUUCAGCUGAUAACAGCAGGAACUAAGUCAACUGAUUCUGUUUUUGGGGAACAAACUUCAAAUGUUGGUGUCUACAUUGGUGUGAUCAUUGUUUUAGUCGUUAUAGAAGUGGUAGUAGUAUUGUACGACAUCAGAAGACAGAUAAAAUGUCCAGCAGUUACAGACAAAAACAAUCAUGCAGACAACUUCAUAGAGGGUGAACCUGUGUAACCAGCCUAAACUCUCAGAUGAAAUCUGCUGCUCCAGAAUCCAGUUAUUAUUCAUUUGGAUUUUGGCAGAUUUUCUUCACAGAGAACAGAAAAGACAAAUCAGUGAGAUCAACCUCUGGCUAAGAACAUCCUGCUGACAGUGACAUAGAGACCCUUUAUGGUUCUCCGUCUGUCUUUUAUUUUGGGCUCAUAUUUUGAAGUUUCCUGUUUUAUUUUGUCAGGUUUCCAGAUUUCC